CCGACAAUCCAGUUGCUCUCUCCAUUUCCUGAAAAGAAAAUUUGAUCAUACUUUUCUUUUUCUAUUAAAUUGUUUGUUUUUUUACAAGAUUUGUGUUUGACAAACGUCGAGAUCAAAUGCGAGCCAACCGAGACGAACCUCCGUUUUCUUACCUGACUAUGGUAAAUACAAGAUCUUUUCGUUUAGGUUCAAAGAAACUACGACAAUUUCAAGUGGGACAAAUCAAUACGUUGAACACAAAACGCGCGGCUUCAGUACGUCAGUUAGGAUAUUUGAUCAUUCGAAUAGGACUCGGAUAAAAUUAAGUAAAAAAAAAAAAUGAACAAUACAUUGUCAUAAAAUGGUACAUUUAUGUACCAUUUUCGCGUGUCUGUAAUUAAAUCUUCGAUUUUCAUUGAUGGUGUAACAUAAACUGUCGAUCGUAUAACAUGGCUGCCAUGAGAAA